AUUGAACGCUGGCGGCAUGCUUUACACAUGCAAGUCGAACGGUAACAGGCCGCAAGGUGCUGACGAGUGGCGAACGGGUGAGUAAUGCAUCGGAACGUGCCCAGCCGUGGGGGAUAACGCAGCGAAAGCUGCGCUAAUACCGCAUACGAUCUCUGGAUGAAAGCGGGGGACCGAAAGGCUUCGCGCGAUUGGAGCGGCCGAUGUCAGAUUAGGUAGUUGGUGGGGUAAAGGCCCACCAAGCCAACGAUCUGUAGCUGGUCUGAGAGGACGACCAGCCACACUGGGACUGAGACACGGCCCAGACUCCUACGGGAGGCAGCAGUGGGGAAUUUUGGACAAUGGGCGCAAGCCUGAUCCAGCAAUGCCGCGUGCAUGAAGAAGGCCUUCGGGUUGUAAACUGCUUUUGUACGGAACGAAACGGUUCGGGUUAAUACCCUGGGCUAAUGACGGUACCGUAAGAAUAAGCACCGGCUAACUACGUGCCAGCCGCCGCGGUAACAC
rnacentral:rRNA from 1 species